AUUGAACGCUGGCGGCAGGCUUAACACGUGCAAGUCGAGCGGAGCGAGGGUGCUUGCACCUUAGCUUAGCGGCGGACGGGUGAGUAAUGCUUAGGAAUCUGCCUAUUAGUGGGGUACAACAUUCCGACAGGAAUGCUAAUACCGCAUAAGCCCUACGGGGGAAAGCAGUGGAUCUUCGGACCUUGCGCGAAUAGACGAGCCUAAGUCGGAUUAGCUAGUUGGUGGGGUAAAGGCCUACCAAGGCAACGAUCUGUAGCGGGUCUGAGAGGAUGAUCCGCCACACUGGGACUGAGACACGGCCCAGACUCCUACGGGAGGCAGCAGUGGGGAAUAUUGGACAAUGGGCGGAAGCCUGAUCCAGCCAUGCCGCGUGUGUGAAGAAGGCCUUUUGGUUGUAAAGCACUUUAAGCGAGGAGGAGGCUACUAGUAUUAAUACUACUGGAUAGUGGACGUUACUCGCAGAAUAAGCACCGGCUAACUCUGUGCCAGCCGCCGCCGUAAAAC
rnacentral:rRNA from 1 species